UGACCUCCCACUGACUCAGAGUCACUUGUGUAGUUGAACCAGUUGUUUUCACCUUCAGUCACACGAUGCUGAACAAACUCUCUGUUCUGGUGACAGUGCUCUCGUUGCCCUGUCUGAAUGGUCAGGCUCUAGAAUCCAUUCCUUCCACUGCAGUAGUGAAGAAGCCUGGAGAGACCCUCAGUCUGUCCUGCAGAGGAUCUGGGUUCACAUUUAGUGACUAUGGGAUGCACUGGGUCAGACAACCUGCAGGAAAAGGACUGGAAUGGAUGGGGGUUAUUUGGAGCGAUGCAAGUAAAACAGUUUAUGCCAGCAACGUUCAAGGAUGCAUAGAAAUCACCAGAGACAACAGCAACAGCAUGACUUACCUGAAACUGUCCAACCUGAGGCCAGAGGACUCUGCUGUGUAUUACUGUGCCAAAUACUCACAGUUGUUAAAGUGAACUGAGAGGAUGAACAAAAACCCAACAUUACGUACACACAACAGCCUCUAGGGGGCAGUAUGAGACAACACAUACUAAAUACAACAUACAACACAAUACUAAACACGGUGAUACAAUGAUCACCAGCUGAUGAUGUGGAUGGAUUCCUUUACAAUCAAAUAACAAUAAAAUAAAUGAAAAAUGAUAUUAAUUCAGUAAAGGUCUAAAUAAUAUUGGACAAUAAAUUAACUCAUUAAAGAUUAUCUUAGACAAUAUAAUAAAAAAAUAAGAUACUUUAUGCUUUCAG